GACGAACCGAGCGAACGUUAUUCGGAAUCACUGGGCUUAAAGGGCGCGUAGGCGGGCGGCCAAGUCAGGGGGUGAAAGCCCCCAGCUCAACUGGGGAAGUGCCUUUGAUACUGGCCAUCUCGAGGGAGGUAGGGGCGUGCGGAACUUCCGGUGGAGCGGUGAAAUGCGUAGAUAUCGGAAGGAGCACCGGUGGCGAAAGCGGCGCGCUGGACCUCUUCUGACGCUGAGGCGCGAAAGCCAGGGGAGCAAACGGG
rnacentral:rRNA from 1 species